rnacentral:rRNA from 1 species
UGGCGGACGGGUGAGUAACGCGUGGGUAACCUGCCUCAUACAGGGGGAUAACAGUUAGAAAUGACUGCUAAUACCGCAUAAGACCACAGCACCGCAUGGUGCAGGGGUAAAAACUCCGGUGGUAUGAGAUGGACCCGCGUCUGAUUAGGUAGUUGGUGGGGUAACGGCCUACCAAGCCGACGAUCAGUAGCCGACCUGAGAGGGUGACCGGCCACAUUGGGACUGGGACACGGUCCAA